rnacentral:rRNA from 1 species
CCUGCAUGAAGUCGGAAUUGCUAGUAAUCGCGGAUCAGCAUGCCGCGGUGAAUACGUUCCCGGGUCUUGUACACACCGCCCGUCACACCAUGGGAGUCGGGAAUGCCCGAAGUCAGUGACCCAACCUUUGGAGGGAGCUGCCGAAGGCAGGUCUGAUAACUGGGGUGAAGUCGUAACAAGGUAUC